rnacentral:sRNA from 1 species
UUGGACACAUAGACACGCAGACACAGAGACACCGGGGCCCAGGGCCCUCCUAUGGACCCUGCCCGCUCCCCUCCCAUCGUCCACGGCUGUCCACCCACCCCCAUUCUCCAAGCUUCAGCCCCCCUCCUUAGUCCGGCAUCUGCACAACACUGAAGAACCUGGGAGUCAGACCCUGAGACCCCGAGCAAUCCCAGGUCCAGCGCCAGCCCUAUCAUGACCAAGGAGUAUCAAGACCUUCAGCAUCUGGACAAUGAGGAGAGUGACCACCAUCAGCUCAGAAAAGGUGAGGGCCACCUUGCCCUGCCUCUGCAAGGCGAGAAUUUGGCGGUUCUCCACCCCCCAGCCACAGCUUCUACUCUUGCCCGUGAGCCUGGCUCUCUCUCUGGGUCUGUCUCCCUCCCCCAACACUGGGAAAGGUGUCGGAGCUGCCUCUCUCAGGAGAGGGGCAGGGUGUGGGGUUGGAGUCCCUUUAUUGAUGACAGGUGCCCAAAGCUUUCCUGUGCCUCCUGGCCCUCGGGGGUGGACCCAGGGGGUGUGGGAACAGCUGGAAGCUGGAGAGAUGAGGUCACUGUCGGCUUCCUAUGACGAAGUCAGGCCCCCUCUUCCUUUCCCCUUCCAACACCACCCAGGGACCCCGGUCGUGCGUGCGUGUGCGUGUGUGUGUCAGUGAUCAGUUUGGUGCAGGGGGGAAAGGUUUCUGCGAAGGGUCUGAGGAGUCUGUGAGGGGGGAUGAGGGGUCUCUGACCUGAGGGAGAACGAGACUCUCUUGCUUCAAAAACAAAUUCCCCUUCACCCAUUUCUUUGUCCUCCGAGCACGGAAUUGUUUAGGCUGAGCAAGGAUGAAGUUCGUGGGGGAUGGGGUGCAGCGCACUUUGACGCAAGGAGGGUCGGCAGCGGAGGAGACCUGGCAGGGAGGGCCCCCUCAACCCUCCAGCUCUCAGGGGACAGGGCUAACGUGUCUCUUCCCCCUACUGGGUGGAAGACUUGAGGGCCUGAAGGGUAGCUAUUGCACCUUCUCUCCCUGCACGCAGCCAAAGACGAGUGGAAUUCAUGGACAGAGAAAGAAACCUUCCUCCUUUCCCCACUUUCAGGGGAAGCAGCGACUCCCAGGCGCGGGCCACUCAAUUGCGUUUCAAGGCGCGGGAGGAGGGGGUGGACUGAGGUUCCUGGAUUGGCUGCAGUGACGCAGUCAUGCCAUUAGGUGUCAGCAAAAGCUCAGGGCCUCGGUGGGAUGGGGCGGCCCAGCGCUUAGCCCCCUUCCCCAGCCCUCUUUUCUCCCCGAUCUCCAGUUGCCUCUGGCCCUGCAGGGUCGCCCACCGCCCGCAUUUCUUCAUGUACAUGGUUCCUCCUAGACUACUAGGGCCGCCUUAGCUUGCUCCCGUUUUAGGACCCUGGAGCUGCGCCAGGCCCCGCUCUGUCCCCGCGCUCCUGACACCCCCUCCUCUUGCAGGGCCACCUCCUUCUCAGCCCCUCCUGCAGCGUCUCUGCUCCGGACCUCGCCUCCUCCUGCUCUCCCUGGGCCUCAGCCUCCUGCUGCUGGUGGUUGUCUGUGUGAUCGGAUCCCAAAGUGGGUGCUCCAGGGGUGGGCAGGGAAGGGGCGACAUUGGGGGGUGUUGACGGGGGACCGUGGCGAGGGAGUGGUGGGUGCGGUGGUGGUGGACACAGCGCUCCCAUUUUCUCUCUGCACCCUCUCCUGGCCAGACUCCCAGCUGCAGAAGGAGCUGCGGGGCCUGAGAGAGACGUUCAGCAACUUCACAGCGAGCACCGAGGCCCAGGUCAAGGGCUUGAGCACCCAGGGAGGCAAUGUGGGAAGAAAGAUGAAGUCUCUGGAGUCCCAGCUGGAGAAACAGCAGAAGGACCUGAGUGAAGGUCAGAGGGGGUGUGUGUGUGUGUGUGCGCGCGCGUGUUUGUGUGAGAGAGAGAGUGUGGGAGUGUGUGUGGAUGUGUGUGAGAAUGAGAGGGAGUGUGUGUGUGUGUGGUGUGAGAAUGAGAGGGAGUGUGUGUGUGUCU